rnacentral:lncRNA from 1 species
GCCAGAUCCUCUCCAUUUAUCUCAUCUAAAUUCAUUAAACAUGCAGCAAGGGGGUCCUCAAUGGUUAGCCUUUCAUCUUCAGUCUCUACAAUUACAUCCACGGUAUCAAUAAGAGAGAAAUUGGUGAAUUCACUUGGUGGUCUCAUAGAUUUUUGCACAUUGAGUGUUAUUUCUUCAUCAUUCAGUCUCAUCUUGAGCUCCCCAGUCUCACAAUCAAUUAGAGCUCUCCCC